rnacentral:rRNA from 1 species
AUACAGAGGGUGCUAGCGUUAAUCGGAAUUACUGGGCGUAAAGCGUGUGUAGGUGGUUAGAUAAGUUAGAUGUGAAAACCCUGGGCUUAACCUGGGAACUGCGUUUAAGACUGUUUAGCUAGAGUACUGUAGAGGGCAGUGGAAUUUCCAGUGUAGCGGUGAAAUGCGUAGAUAUUGGAAGGAACACCAGUGGCGAAGGCGACUGUCUGGAUAGAUACUGACACUGAGACACGAAAGCGUGGGGAGC